rnacentral:lncRNA from 1 species
CAUUCUUUCUGUUACUUUUGGUUGACAACAUGGGGAGAAUUUUGAGAAGAGAUGAGCCCCUGAACUGUCCUGGUUUCUUUUGCUAAGAACAGACCACGGUUUGAAUGCAUUCCACUGGCCGCACUGUCUCUGAGAACUGCGCAGAGGAAAAUGAGAGAGUUCAUGUGUGGGGAUUCGGGUCUGGCAGUGGCAUCCAACCAAAGCAAGCAGGUACAGGGUGGAGUCGCAGUGAACCAAGCGCCAACGUUGCCGUCCCAUCCGUGGAGAUUUCCACCUACUUUUACUGUUUUGAACUCCAGACAAGAGAGUUACCAGCCACAUGAUUUUCAAUACUUAAAGCUGGAAAAUAUUUCCAAGAGCCCCAGUAAAGCCUGUACGUGGCUGGCACAGGGAACUCUCCCUGGAGAGGAGAUGGGUGAGGCGGUGGACACACUUCCUGAAGCCACAAGAAAGAGGAGGCUGCUGAUUCAUCAGCAGCUGCUUCCUGGACUUACAAUGCUGGGCUGCACUGAAGAGUAUUUUUCCAAGGUGAUGUGAACUGUUACAACAUUCCUGCUGGUCCCCAUCGGACCUUCCUGUAAGUCAAACCAGAAAGUUGCCCAAACCAGCAUUCCUGA